CAUUGUCAAAUUUGGUAAUGGCGACAUUUUGAGCCAAUCAGAGGCCAUAGCAGCCUGCUGGGUCUUUCCGAUUGGCUCAAGAUGCCACCAUUACCAAAUCUGACAGUAUGGCAGAAUUUGAUAGCGUCCAGAAUAACACCUAUAUAUGCAGGGUUGCUAAAUAAGACGGGCAACUUUAGCCUGGCUUUUUCAAGAAAAUAUGGAGUUAUUAGUACUACUUACAUUCCGGUUUAUAUGGUACUUAUUUUGUCACUGCUUUUUUUAGUGUAUGUUUCUGUUAGUAGAAUAAGGAUGUAGAACGUUGCCUUUUUAUGUCAGUUGGAAGUUUAUUUCCGUAUGUGGUCCUACUAUUCUUACAUUAAGAUGUUUGAAUUUUUUUCUUUUUCUUUUCUUUAAUUUCAUUCUAGUUUCCUUAUACAAGAAACCAAAGGGUCCCGGACAAAGGUGCUUCCUUGCAAAUGACUGGGUCCGGGGCCCUAUACAAACUGUACACGGAGGAAACAGCGUUACACAAAUCAAGAACAUAUUUCAAUAUCUACUCACAUAGAAAAAAAAAAUGUGCAUAGAAAUAUACAAAUCAAGAACAUAUUUCAAUAUCUACUCGCAUAGAAAAAGAAAAAGUGUGCAUAGAAAUAUACAAAUCAAGAACAUGUUUCAAUAUCUACUCACAUAUAAAAAGAAAAAAAAUGUGCAUAGAAAUAUACAAAUCAAGAACAUAUUUCAAUAUCUACUCACAUAGAAAAAGAAAAAAAAUGUGCAUAGAAAUAUACAAAUCAAGAACAUAUUUCAAUAUCUACUCGCAUAGAAAAAGAAAAAGUGUGCAUAGAAAUAUACAAAUCAGGAACAUAUUUAAUAUCUACUCACAUAGAAAAAAAAUGUGCAUAGAAAGCAGCAAACAAACAGUAAACAGAACACUGACAGUAUCCACGUCUUAUCUUGCGACACACAGGCACAAUUGCACACGAGGAACAAAUAAUAUGACCCCAAAAAAUAGAUCUGUUGCAAAAAAAGAAAAAAAAGG